UCGACGGCAGCACGGGAGCAAUCCUGGUGGCGAGUGGCGAACGGGUGAGUAAUGUAUCGGAACGUACCUUUCAGUGGGGGAUAACGUAGCGAAAGUUACGCUAAUACCGCAUAUUCUGUGAGCAGGAAAGCAGGGGAUCGCAAGACCUUGCGCUGAUUGAGCGGCCGAUAUCAGAUUAGCUAGUUGGUGAGGUAAAGGCUCACCAAGGCGACGAUCUGUAGCGGGUCUGAGAGGAUGAUCCGCCACACUGGAACUGAGACACGGUCCAGACUCCUACGGGAGGCAGCAGUGGGGAAUUUUGGACAAUGGGCGCAAGCCUGAUCCAGCCAUGCCGCGUGAGUGAAGAAGGCCUUCGGGUUGUAAAGCUCUUUCAGCCGGGAAGAAAACGCAUGGGUUAAUACCCUGUGUGGAUGACGGUACCGGAAUAAGAAGCACCGGCUAACUACGUGCCAGCAGCCGCGGUAAUACGUAGGGUGCGAGCGUUAAUCGGAAUUACUGGGCGUAAAGCGUGCGCAGGCGGUUUGUUAAGAUAGGCGUGAAAUCCCCGGGCUCAACCUGGGAACUGCGUUUAUGACUGGCAGGCUAGAGUAUGGCAGAGGGGGGUGGAAUUCCACGUGUAGCAGUGAAAUGCGUAGAGAUGUGGAGGAACACCGAUGGCGAAGGCAGCCCCCUGGGCCAAUACUGACGCUCAUGCACG
rnacentral:rRNA from 1 species